CGGGGUGGAGUAAUGUCUGGGAAACGUGCCUGAUGGAGGGGGAUAACUGCUGGAAACGGUAGCUAAUACCGCAUAACGUCGCAAGACCAAAGAGGGGGACCGUUCGGGCCUCUUGCCAUCGGAUGUGCCCAGAUGGGAUUAGCUAGUAGGUGGGGUAACGGCUCACCUAGGCGACGAUCCCUAGCUGGUCUGAGAGGAUGACCAGCCACACUGGAACUGAGACACGGUCCAG
rnacentral:rRNA from 1 species